UGGGGAAUAUUGCACAAUGGGCGCAAGCCUGAUGCAGCCAUGCCGCGUGUAUGAAGAAGGCCUUCGGGUUGUAAAGUACUUUCAGCGGGGAGGAAGGGAGUAAAGUUAAUACCUUUGCUCAUUGACGUUACCCGCAGAAGAAGCACCGGCUAACUCCGUGCCAGCAGCCGCGGUAAUACGGAGGGUGCAAGCGUUAAUCGGAAUUACUGGGCGUAAAGCGCACGCAGGCGGUUUGUUAAGUCAGAUGUGAAAUCCCCGGGCUCAACCUGGGAACUGCAUCGGAUAAUGGCAAGCUUGAGUCUCGUAGAGGGGGGUAGAAUUCCAGGUGUAGCGGUGAAAUGCGUAGAGAUCUGGAGGAAUACCGGUGGCGAAGGCGGCCCCCUGGACGAAGACUGACGCUCAGGUGCGAAAGCGUGGGGAGCAAACAGG
rnacentral:rRNA from 1 species